rnacentral:rRNA from 1 species
GGACGAACGCUGGCGGCGCGCCUAACACAUGCAAGUCGAACGAGCGAGAGAGAGCUUGCUUUCUUGAGCGAGUGGCGAACGGGUGAGUAACGCGUGAGGAACCUGCCUCAAAGAGGGGGACAACAGUUGGAAACGACUGCUAAUACCGCAUAAGCCCACGGUGCCGCAUGGCACAGAGGGAAAAGGAGCAAUCCGCUUUGAGAUGGCCUCGCGUCCGAUUAGCUAGUUGGUGAGGUAACGGCCCACCAAGGCGACGAUCGGUAGCCGGACUGAGAGGUUGAACGGCCACAUUGGGACUGAGACACGGCCCAGACUCCUACGGGAGGCAGCAGUGGGGAAUAUUGCACAAUGGGGGAAACCCUGAUGCAGCGACGCCGCGUGGAGGAAGAAGGUCUUCGGAUUGUAAACUCCUGUUGUUGGGGAAGAUAAUGACGGUACCCAACAAGGAAGUGACGGCUAACUACGUG